GUCUCAGUAGCGUUUUGGUUAGCGCACGUGCUGUGGUUAGGCGGGAGACGUGGGUUCGAAUCCUGCCUGAGAAG
rnacentral:tRNA from 1 species